AAAAAUAGAGUGUGGGGAUGAGAAAAGAACUCAUUGAUUAUAUUUUUGUGUUUCACAAGACCUCCGGACCUGUGCCUACGUACCAACAUAAAAAUGAGGGAUCAAAUCCUUGUAGUUCGUGGUAAUAAUUUCAAAAUGGGUGAGUUGCUUUUAAUCAAAAAAUUUAAUAAAAGGGGCACAAAGGGGCCAAAAGUUUGAAUGAAUGUUAGUUCUUUUUGUCUUUUGAAAUUUUAAGUCAUAUACGGUUAAGUUCAUUUACAAGUUUGAUUUAAGAAAAGAGUUUGAAAAUUCAAUGGCAUAAGGCCAAAGUUUC
rnacentral:lncRNA from 1 species